UUAAGUCCACCGCCUGGGGAGUACGGUCGCAAGGCUGAAACUUAAAGGAAUUGGCGGGGGAGCACUGCAACGGGAGGAGCGUGCGGUUUAAUUGGAUUCAACGCCGGAAAACUCACCGGGGGAGACUGCCGUAUGUGGGCCAGGCUGAAGACCUUGCCCGAAUAAUAGGCAGAGAGGUGGUGCAUGGCCGCCGUCAGCUCGUACCGUAGGGCGUUCUGUUAAGUCAGGUAACGAGCAAGACCCCUGCCCUUAGUUGCUACUUGUUUCUCCGGAGACAAGGCACACUAGGGGGACCGCUGGCGCUAAGCCAGAGGAAGGAGGGGGCAACGGUAGGUCAGUAUGCCCUGAAUCCUUCGGGCUACACGCGCGCUACAAAGGCUGGGACAAUGGGUUGCCACCCCGAAAGGGGGAGCUAAUCUCUAAACCCAGUCGUAGUUCGGACCGAGGGCUGAAACUCGCCCUCGUGAAGGUGGAUUCCGUAGUAAUCGCGUAUCAACAUUGCGCGGUGAAUAUGCCCCUGCUCCUUGCACACACCGCCCGUCAAGCCAAGCGAGUUGGGUCCGGGUGAGGAUCUGUCGGCUUGAUAGAUUCAAACCUGGGUUCAGCGAGCGGGGCUAAGUCGUAACAAGGUAUCCGUAGGGGAACCUGCGGAUGGAUCACCUCCUUU
rnacentral:rRNA from 1 species